GAUCUCCAGGCUCAACGCGUCAGUCCACCAGCUGAACUCUCAGUCAGACUGGUGAAUGGGACCACUUCCUGUUCUGGGACAGUGGAAGUCUUCAAUGAAGGAGAGUGGUCAGGUCUAUGUUCUAGGUUGUGGGACAUGAAAGAUGUUAAUGUUGUGUGUAGAGACCUGAGUUGUGGGAAUCCUGUAGCUGAAUCUAGAGGACCUCUGUUUGAAGAUGGAAGAAGAGGAGUCACACUAUAUAGUAGUUGCUAUGGAAAUGAGUCUUCUAUUAGACAGUGUGACAUCAUAGGUGGACGUGGUGUCUGUGAUGGUGGAUAUUAUCAUCAUGUGACCUGUUCAGAGUCUGUGCGGCUUGUGGAUGGAGCUGGUCUCUGCUCUGGGAGAGUGGAG